UGAGUAACACGUAUCCAACCUGCCGUCUACUCUUGACAGCCUUCUGAAAGGAAGAUUAAUACAAGAUGGCAUCAUGAGUCCGCAUGUUCACAUGAUUAAAGGUAUUUCCGGUAGACGAUGGGGAUGCGUUCCAUUAGAUAGUAGGCGGGGUAACGGCCCACCUAGUCUACGAUGGAUAGGGGUUCUGAGAGGAAGGUCCCCCACAUUGGAACUGAGACACGGUCCAA
rnacentral:rRNA from 1 species